rnacentral:lncRNA from 1 species
UUAAAUUUGACCCCCAUAUACAAAGCACAAAUUUAAUUUGUUUUAUAUUUCUGUAAGCGAAUAUUUGCAUAAUACAACAGCAAAAGAAGGGAUUGUUUUACAGCAACAUGAGAUAUGUAGGAAGAAGAAAAGAGACUGGUAUGAAGAAACAAAAAUGAGCAAUAACCUUCAAUCGUCUUAGGGGAUUCUACUUGAAAUGGUCAUUCACAAUCUUUAGCUGAUAUUUUCCCACCAAUCUGACCAGAGAAUGUAAAUAAAAGAAUGCUUUGUUAGUGCUUAGAAUUGGAUCGGGAUGCACAAUGGUGAGAUGAGUUCAAUCAUUCAAAAGUUUGUGGCAGCUAUUUUGGUUUGGGGUUAAUUUGUAUAGAACAGUGGCAUGCCAUGGAGCUGGGCCUCCUUUGGAAAAUCUAAUGAGUCAUGUAUCAGCAACAGGUAACAACUUGAACAAAAUUUUUGAUAUUAAUUAUACAAGCAAGGGCUACAACUUGAACAAAAUUUUCGAUAUUAAUGAUACAAGCAAGGGCUACAACUUGAACAAACUUUUUGAUAUUAAUGAUACGAGCAAGGGUUAGAAACCAGAAAUCCUUCCUUUCCAUUUCAGUUUGCUACAUAGGAAUAAGAUUGAUGAAUGCCUUCAAUGUUCUGUGGUAACUCAGGUCUGCAUGGCUCUGAGUCUGCUUACAAUUGAAGAAUUAUGAUUUUCUUGUCUGAGUAAUUUGUUUCCCAUGGUACAAGUGGAUGAUAUCAGUUUAUACUCAAAACAUCUUAAUUUUUGUGGUAAUUUGGAUCUUCAAAGCUUUCUUUGGUGAUUUCGUUGCAGUCGGUUAUUCAAUUUUCAUACUCAAGAUUGUCCCAAGUCUAGGGUUUGAGGUAUAUGUUGGCCAAAAAUCUACGGAGUAGCCACUGAGACAUUGUCAUUACAACUUAAGAAUCAUGAGCUAA